rnacentral:sRNA from 1 species
UUCCUAAACAUAGGGUUACAAGAGGUCC